rnacentral:rRNA from 1 species
UACUAGAGUAGCACUCGCAUAUCAAUAAGCGGAGGAAAAGAAACUAACAAGGAUCCCCCUAGUAACGGCGAGUGAAGCGGGAAGAGCUCAAAUUUGAAAUCUUAAAGGGUUUCCCUUUACGAAUUGUAGUUUAAAGAAGUGUUUUCUGUUGAGGUUUUGGUAAAAGUUCUUUGGAAUAGGACAUCAUAGAGGGUGAGAAUCCCGUAUUUGACCUUUACUUUCAACUUUGUGAUACACUUUCAAAGAGUCGGAUUGUUUGGGAAUGCAGUCCAAAAUGGGUGGUAAAUUUCAUCUAAAGCUAAAUAUUGGCGAGAGACCGAUAGCGAACAAGUACCGUGAGGGAAAGAUGAAAAGAACUUUGAAAAGAGAGUUAAACAGUACGUGAAAUUGUCAAAAGGGAAGCGUUUGACACCAGUGUUGUUUUUCUGAAAAUCAAUUAAAGAACUGUUUAUGCUAAGUUGUUUAGACUUUAUCAGCUAUCUGUUUAGUUUUGAGCUUUUCUUUAAUGCACUUUUCAGUUAACAAGUCAACAUCAAUUUCUUUUGCUGUAAAAAAGCUUGAGGAAGGUGGCUUGAGAUUCGUCUUAAGUGUUUAUAGCCUCUUGCCUAUGCAGUCGGAGAGAUUGAGGUCUGCAGCGUAGAUCCUUCGGGGCUAAAUGCAUUUGUGCUAAGUUAUAGCAUUUUAUAGACAACUUGUUGACUAUGAUUUGUCUUGUAGCUUACUCGCUUAUGUUAUUUUACCUACGCUUAGGAUGUUGAGCGCAUGUCUCUCUCU